AUUAUAUCGUUUCCUAAUCUGUUUUGUUUACAUCAAGUAUGAUGUAUUACAUGUGCUGUACCUUAUAUUGUACUUUUCGUUCAUACCACAGUUGUAAGCCGUGCCUACGGGUGAAUAAAUUUCCUUGUCAGCAA
rnacentral:lncRNA from 1 species